GGGGCAGACGUCUAAGUAAUCCAGUUAGCUAGUAUCCCGCUCCUGAUAGGCUGGUGAAGCACUUGUUGCUCUCUUCGUGUUUUUGCUGUUUUAUUUCUUAAAUCUUCUUUCUACUUUAACAUGAGAUCAAUGUUUUAUCUGUCAGCGAACUAGAAGCAGCUCCACAGAGAUGAAAACAGCCCGCAGAGACUCUGAUCGGAGCUAGCGAUGCUAGCGAUGCUAACAGACUUCAGCAGCAGCUUCAGAGGAGCUGUGGUUCCUAACCGGAGCUUCAGCUCCAACAGAGCUGAAACAAAGCUCUACAACUCUGGUUUUUACGUUAAGAUGCCGGGCUUCCGGUUUGAAGUUCCUUCAUUCAGAGACUCAAACUGAAAUGUUCUUUAGUGAAGAAGAAGCUUCAUCUGGAUCUGAUGUUGAAGCUGCAGUUUGAAUCCGUCUCAGGAUUCGGUUCAGAAUCCAGUUCAUGUCACUGAUCAGCAUCAUUGUGGCUCCAGAACGUGGCCCACCUCUACCUGUGCAGGCUGGAGGAGGCUAAGAGGAGGUUCUGAUGGAUCCGGUGUUUACCAGCUGUGGACACUGGUUCUGCAGGCAAUGCAUCAGGUCUUACUGGGACCAGUCUGUUCCAUCUGGACCCUCCUCCUUCCCCCAGUGUGGAGAACUACCCAAAACAGGAGCUGAAUGUCUGACAGCCAAUCAGAGCAGCUGUUCUCCAGGAGUCGGGUCAGAACCGGCCGGUAGUCGGGUCGAUGGUGAUGGAGGAAGCACAAAGCGGCGGCGACGGCGCAGUCGGAGCUGCAGCUCUUUGGAUCAUGUGACGUUUAGUUUCUUUCUGAAUGUAACGUGUUUGUUCUGGUUCUUCUUCAUGUGUAUUUAUGCCGCUGCGCCACCAGCAGAUAUUUAUUCACAUCCAAAUAAAAACUAAAUAUGAAAAA